ACGAAAUUUUUACUAUUGCUUUUAUCUCGCUUGCUUUUUAAUCUUUUAUCUACCUUGCAAUUAAAAAUACGCAAAUAUAAAUAAUCGUUCCUAAUGGGAUAUGAUCUAAACACAACCUAAAAAUUCCUAAUUAUUAAAUUUUGAAUCAUGAUAGUAGUAUAUCUUUAUUGUUUAUCAUUGUACUUCAAAGUAUCCAUAAAUAGACUUCUAAAAACUUAAAGGCGCUUUAAAUUGAAUAUUCGAUAUAAAAUAUUGACGAAUGUAAAUUGUUGAGCAAAAACAACUGCUCUUAUAAUGCCACAUGUAAUAAUUUGGUUGGUGGCUACAACUGCAUAUGUCUAAGUGGGUUCAAUACAAGUAAAGGAGAAAUAGAAUCUCUUUCUGAUCAGUGUCUAGGUUUUUGUUUGGGAGAAACAAUUGGAAAUAAUGAUUAUACAGGUGUAUAUACGUUGCCAAAUACUUCAGUUAACCAGUCGAUAACAAAGCCUUGUCAGUACAAUACGAGUACUAAAUUAACAGGACAAUGUGUCUGGAAUACUUUUUUUGCUAAACCUGAAUGGAUACCUGAUACUCGUUUAUUUUUGAAUCUUUGUCCUUUUAAGCUCAAUACAACUUGGCAAUCACAAGAGCUUAAUUUUCUGGAAAAUGUUGGAUAUUGCUACAUCUAAAAGGCAAAAAUUGGAUGGUAUCCUUUUUUUUAUUGUGAAUGAAAUCAAUUUGUGUCAGGUAUUGAUAUAAUCAAGAUAACUGGGAGCAGAAAUUAUAGAAGGAAAUGCCGCAAAUGUAUUGAUAACAUAUAUUUUAUAAAAAUUUACUUAAACUCUACUAUAUGAUUUUAUCCACUUUUAUUGUUUUAAGUUACCCAUAACAAAAUUUGCAAGUGUUGAACAAAGGCUGUCGAAUUUUAGUUUUACAUGGUUUUGAUUGUAAUUGUAUGCGCAACGCAUUUUGGAACGUCCUGAUAGUGAAGAAAUAAGUUCACAACAACAAACUUGGCUGAAACUUUGCAAAAUGUUCUGUUUUAUGUUGCAUUAUUCUUUUAUAAAUAAAACUCUUCAUUGUUCAUAAAGGUCUUUAUAUUGUGCUACAAAUAACUGCAGAAAUACGAGUGGAAUUGCAUAUAAAAAUUAUCAAGUUAUUUCAAUGAUCAACUCACUAAGUUGUAUAUGGUUCCUGUUUCUACAAGCGCAGAAGGAGAUCUUGAUAGAAAAACUUAUUAAAAUGAUUAGUGUUUGUGCAUCAAUCAUUUUAAAAGUUCAAUGUAUUAUAAAAAACAUUGGGGGAAAAUACCUUCUCCAUAAUGCAAUUCUUACAUUAUUUAAGUUCUAAAUAUAUUCUCUGUUGGAAAAAAAUUAUUAUUGUUAAGAGUAUUUCAACUUUUUAUUAAGAAAUAAAUUUUUAAAAGUACCUUUCACAUUGGAGAUUAAAUGAUACAGUAACUAGUCUACUGGAAUUGU